rnacentral:rRNA from 1 species
UUAAGCGACCAAGCGUACACGGUGGAUGCCCUGGCAGUCAGAGGCGAUGAAGGACGUGCUAAUCUGCGAAAAGCGCCGGUAAGGUGAUAUGAACCGUUAUAGCCGGCGAUGUCCGAAUGGGGAAACCCAGUGUGAUUCGUCACACUAUCAUUAACUGAAUCCAUAGGUUAAUGAGGCGAACCGGGGGAACUGAAACAUCUAAGUACCCCGAGGAAAAGAAAUCAACCGAGAUUCCCCCAGUAGCGGCGAGCGAACGGGGAGGAGCCCAGAGCCUGAAUCAGCAUGUGUGUUAGUGGAAGCGUCUGGAAAGGCGCGCGAUACAGGGUGAGAGCCCCGUACACAAAAGCGCACGUGCUGUGAGCUCGAUGAGUAGGGCGGGACACGUGGUAUCCUGUCUGAAUAUGGGGGGACCAUCCUCCAAGGCUAAAUACUCCUGACUGACCGAUAGUGAACCAGUACCGUGAGGGAAAGGCGAAAAGAACCCCGGCGAGGGGAGUGAAACAGAACCUGAAACCGUGUACGUACAAGCAGUGGGAGCCCCACCACUAAGCCAGUGGUGAACUCCACAUACGCAUCCUUUGCUGAGGAUACGGUUAACGGAGCGAAAGCGACGUUUAACCGCAAAAGAAGCAGAGGGGGCUUAGUGGUGGGGUGACUGCGUACCUUUUGUAUAAUGGGUCAGCGACUUAUAUUCUGUAGCAAGGUUAACCGCAUAGGGGAGCCGGAGGGAAACCGAGUCUUAAUUGGGCGUUAAGUUGCAGGGUAUAGACCCGAAACCCGGUGAUCUAGCCAUGGGCAGGUUGAAGGUUGGGUAACACUAACUGGAGGACCGAACCGACUAAUGUUGAAAAAUUAGCGGAUGACCUGUGGCUGGGGGUGAAAGGCCAAUCAAACCGGGAGAUAGCUGGUUCUCCCCGAAAGCUAUUUAGGUAGCGCCUCGUGAAUUCAUCUCCGGGGGUAGAGCACUGUUUCGGCCAGGGGGCCAUCCCGGCUUACCAAUCCGAUGCAAACUGCGAAUACCGGAGAAUGUUAUCACGGGAGACACACGGCGGGUGCUAACGUCCGUCGUGAAGAGGGAAACAACCCAGACCGCCAGCUAAGGUCCCAAAGUCAUGGUUAAGUGGGAAACGAUGUGGGAAGGCCCAGACAGCCAGGAUGUUGGCUUAGAAGCAGCCAUCAUUUAAAGAAAGCGUAAUAGCUCACUGGUCGAGUCGGCCUGCGCGGAAGAUGUAACGGGGCUAAACCAUGCACCGAAGCUGCGGCAGCGAACGUAUCACCCAAGACAACUUUGCACAGUUGACGAUUGACGGAGCGAAGCGACGUCAAAGCGUUUUACAACGUCGAGUUGGCUUAGGGAUACGUUCGUUGGGUAGGGGAGCGUUCUGUAAGCCGUUGAAGGUGUGUCGUGAGGCAUGCUGGAGGUAUCAGAAGUGCGAAUGCUGACAUAAGUAACGAUAAAGCGGGUGAAAAGCCCGCUCGCCGGAAGACCAAGGGUUCCUGUCCAACGUUAAUCGGGGCAGGGUGAGUCGACCCCUAAGGCGAGGCCGAAAGGCGUAGUCGAUGGGAAACGGGUUAAUAUUCCCGUACUUGGUGUUACUGCGAAGGGGGGACGGAGAAGGCUAUGUUGGCCGGGCGACGGUUGUCCCGGUUUAAGCGUGUAGGUGUGUGUUCCAGGUAAAUCCGGUUCACUUUAACACUGAGGCGUGACGACGAGGCACUACGGUGCUGAAGCAACAAAUGCCCUGCUUCCAGGAAAAGCCUCUAAGCCUCAGGUAACAUCAAAUCGUACCCCAAACCGACACAGGUGGUCAGGUAGAGAAUACCAAGGCGCUUGAGAGAACUCGGGUGAAGGAACUAGGCAAAAUGGUGCCGUAACUUCGGGAGAAGGCACGCUGACAGGUAGGUGAAGUGGUUUACCCAUGGAGCUGAAGUCAGUCGAAGAUACCAGCUGGCUGCAACUGUUUAUUAAAAACACAGCACUGUGCAAACACGAAAGUGGACGUAUACGGUGUGACGCCUGCCCGGUGCCGGAAGGUUAAUUGAUGGGGUCAGCGCAAGCGAAGCUCCUGAUCGAAGCCCCGGUAAACGGCGGCCGUAACUAUAACGGUCCUAAGGUAGCGAAAUUCCUUGUCGGGUAAGUUCCGACCUGCACGAAUGGCGUAAUGAUGGCCAGGCUGUCUCCACCCGGGACUCAGUGAAAUUGAACUCGCUGUGAAGAUGCAGUGUACCCGCGGCAAGACGGAAAGACCCCGUGAACCUUUACUAUAGCUUGACACUGAACACUGGUCCUUGAUGUGCAGGAUAGGUGGGAGGCUUUGAAGUGUGGACGCCAGUCUGCAUGGAGCCAUCCUUGAAAUACCACCCUUUAAUGGCUGGUGUUCUAACGUGGGCCCCUGACCGGGGUUGCGGACAGUGUCUGGUGGGUAGUUUGACUGGGGCGGUCUCCUCCUAAAGAGUAACGGAGGAGCACGAAGGUUGGCUAAUCCUGGUCGGACAUCAGGAGGUUAGUGCAAUGGCAUAAGCCAGCUUGACUGCGAGCGUGACGGCGCGAGCAGGUGCGAAAGCAGGUCAUAGUGAUCCGGUGGUUCUGAAUGGAAGGGCCAUCGCUCAACGGAUAAAAGGUACUCCGGGGAUAACAGGCUGAUACCGCCCAAGAGUUCAUAUCGACGGCGGUGUUUGGCACCUCGAUGUCGGCUCAUCACAUCCUGGGGCUGAAGUAGGUCCCAAGGGUAUGGCUGUUCGCCAUUUAAAGUGGUACGCGAGCUGGGUUUAGAACGUCGUGAGACAGUUCGGUCCCUAUCUGCCGUGGGCGCUGGAAGAUUGAGGGGGGCUGCUCCUAGUACGAGAGGACCGGAGUGGACGCAUCACUGGUGUUCGGGUUGUCAUGCCAAUGGCACUGCCCGGUAGCUACAUGCGGAAGAGAUAAGUGCUGAAAGCAUCUAAGCACGAAACUUGCCUCGAGAUGAAUCUUCCCUGAGCCUUUAAGGCUCCUGAAGGAACGUUGAAGACGACGACGUUGAUAGGCCGGGUGUGUAAGCGCAGCGAUGCGUUGAGCUAACCGGUACUAAUGAACCGUGAGGCUUAACCUU